CCUCAUGCUUUUGUUUCGGUCGGCCACAAACUAGAAGGAUGCCCUGAUAAGCCGUCGUCGACUCCUAAGACCGGAGCAGCCUCGGCGGCCAUCGCUGCAGUGUCUCCUAAACCAAAACCACCCUCCCUCAAGUGCCUACAACGAGGAAGAACUGUACGGUGGUCCAAAAACGAGAUCGUGCUCGUUCCGGCAACGAUCGAGGCGCCCAUGCCUCAACGAGGGAUGGUGGUGGGGACUAUGGAAACCGCGACAUCUUCCACGGCGACGGGAGGAAGCUGCAGCUAUACGGCGAGUAACUCCCAUACGAGGAAGAACCCGAAUGGUAAGAAUUCUCCCAGAAAGAUGGACCAAAAUCCCAUCGUAUACCUCUUCAGGGAAUUCGCCCCAACUCAACCCUUUUCUUGAAACAUAGGAACAAGACAGGGGAUCACCCAUCCUGGAACCAUACAUGUCUGAUCAUUGUAUGUUGGCCAUAAUGCUGAAAAAAUUAAAAAGCUUAAA